rnacentral:rRNA from 1 species
CUCUAGAGUUUGAUCAUGGCUCAGAUUGAACGCUGGCGGCAGGCCUAACACAUGCAAGUCGAGCGGCAGCACGAGAAAGCUUGCUUUCUUGGUGGCGAGCGGCGGACGGGUGAGUAAUACAUGGGAAUCUGCCCGAUAGUGGGGGACAACGUUUCGAAAGGAACGCUAAUACCGCAUACGUCCUACGGGAGAAAGCAGGCUUAGGCUUGCGCUAUCGGAUGAGCCCAUGUCGGAUUAGCUUGUUGGUGAGGUAAUGGCUCACCAAGGCGACGAUCCGUAACUGGUCUGAGAGGAUGAUCAGUCACACCGGAACUGAGACACGGUCCGGACUCCUACGGGAGGCAGCAGUGGGGAAUAUUGGACAAUGGGGGCAACCCUGAUCCAGCCAUGCCGCGUGUGUGAAGAAGGCCUUCGGGUUGUAA